AGAGUUUGAUCCUGGCUCAGGAUGAACGCUAGCUACAGGCUUAACACAUGCAAGUCGAGGGGCAGCAUGGUCUUAGCUUGCUAAGACCGAUGGCGACCGGCGCACGGGUGAGUAACGCGUAUCCAACCUGCCUUACACUCUUGGACAGCCUUCUGAAAGGGAGAUUAAUACAAGAUGUUAUCAUGAGUAAGCAUUUUUCACAUGAUUAAAGGUUUACCGGUGUAAGAUGGGGAUGCGUUCCAUUAGAUAGUAGGCGGGGUAACGGCCACCUAGUCUUCGAUGGAUAGGGGUUCUGACGAGGAACGGUCCCCACAUUGGAACUGAGACACGGUCCAAACUCCUACGGGAGGCA
rnacentral:rRNA from 1 species